UAACUCCAAAAGUAUACAUCACAUAAAACUUACAUUUUCAUAAUCAGCAUACUCCAAAUACAAACAUACUCAAAAAUCAGACAAUUCCUUCCAUUGGUUUAAAAGUUAGGUUGAAGUCCUUUAUGACCAACUGAAGCAUGGUUUCCAGCCAAAACCAGUUCCACGGAGUCCUCUAUAACUGGGUGUGGUAUGCCAACUAUCUCCAGGUACAGAAAAUAUCUCUAUUCACAACAACAGCAAAACUACACAAAAAUACACAAUUCCUAUCAUACUGAACAGAACCCCCACAUUCAACCUAUCCCCAGAUGGCUUGGAUCUGAGCGCUCAAUAUAUUCAAACAGCGCUCAGAUCCCACAAACACAGUCAAAUCGCCAUGGGGUUUAAGUAGAGCAUGGGCUGAUAAGAGGGGCCAUAGUCACAGGGCAGGAGGCUGGCAAUCAGUCUUCUCCCAGUGGCCCAGUAGCGAGGCUGGUUCCGCCACAAAUGAGGUUUGCAUUGGUUGCAUUGUGUAUGUAAGAGUAUCAUUCUAGUGAUUUCUAUGAGAAAUUAAUUAGCUGUUCUCAGAUGCUUAGUUAUGCAUGUCCACCUGCUAGCUAACCCAAGCUCCACCCAUGAAAACGAUAGGAGUGCCAGGAUUAACAACUAACAAGGUAGACAGGUAGAAUGCUCUAUAUUCCGCAGGUCAAGGGAACAAUAACUAAGACUUAGGAUAGUCAUAAAAUAGAUAUAGAGCCACACAGACCAUUGUGUUUGCUGAUUGUGAUAGGAGCUGAUUAUAUUUUCUGAUAAUUGAUUAAUUAUAGAUAGCAUUCUCUGGCUCAGUGUGCGUGAGACGUGACAUUAAUCGGUCCAUACAGUUUGCCCGCUGAGCUGUUUCCUUGGAACAAGUAGUUUACCGAUUGACCUACAGAUUUCACAGUGGCUGAGAAAAGAUUAGUCAAGUGGUAACCAAGAUGCUGUGAAUUUAGGAGGAGGUGAAGCUAUAUGUGUAAUAUAAUCCACACCAUUCAACACUGAGUGCAUUGUAUGGUGAUGAAUCAUGUCGGUUUAUAUAACAGCUCACUGUAUAUGCAGGUUCACUAUAUAUAAUGUAUACUAAGUACCAAACUAGAGGUGAUUGUGUUUUUUCCAGUCAAGUCAGAAUUGUGGCAAUUCGCAUAGAUUGUUGUCUUUGCUGUUACUUCCUGUCCACAUCCUGCGUGACAAAUAUACAAUAUACAAAAAAGACCUGUUAUCUUCAUACAGACAAUCAAGCAGAGGUAAGACGGUCUGAUUGUAUCUCGUUAGAUAUUACUAUAAUAUUUCAGUGGAGUAUUAAACAUAAAACGUUUUGUAACUGAAAGAUUGGCAAUGUGAUGUAUAAUGUAUCCUCUGACAUUAGUGCAGCCUUGGUUAGAAUACACAAUGCUCUGCCUGUCUGCUAUGGGGACUGUAGUUAAUGGAAAGCUGGAGGGCCACGAUUGGACAGCUUUGCUCUGUGGAAUCGCUGGGUAGAGGUAGAAAAUUAUGUAAAGAUAAAAAGCAUAUUUAUUGGACAUUGGAGGCUAGAAUUAUCUCUCAGUUUCAAUGAGUACUUUGUGUCUUAAGAGUACUUGGUGCAGAUUAUCUUACAAUGUCUGAUUAUUGUCAUUAACUCUGAUGUCUGUGACACAUAUUAUGCAGAGUCAUAUAUAAGAAGAAAAACUACCACAACAAGAGGACAUAGUCUUAAAUUAGAGGGACAAAGGUUUAAAAAUAAUAUCAGGAAGUAUUACUUUACUGAGAG
rnacentral:lncRNA from 1 species